CCUGGAAGCUGAAAGAUGUCUAAUGCAGGCAGAUGAGAUGUCUUUUGUCUGUACUUCAAGGCUUCCUAGAGUAAAAUGAAGGUCUCUGUCUGGUUUAGAGCAGCCAACUGAACUGGAUCGUUCCCCUUUGCACAUA
rnacentral:snoRNA from 1 species